UACGUAGGGUGCAAGCGUUGUCCGGAAUUAUUGGGCGUAAAGAGCUCGUAGGCGGUUUGUUGCGUCGGCUGUGAAAUCCCGAGGCUCAACCUCGGGUCUGCAGUCGAUACGAGCAAACUAGAGUGUUGCAGGGGAGACUGGAAUUCCUGGUGUAGCGGUGAAAUGCGCAGAUAUCAGGAGGAACACCGGUGGCGAAGGUGGUUCUCUGGGCAUGUCCUGACGCUGAGGAGCGAAAGUGUGGGGAGCGAACAGG
rnacentral:rRNA from 1 species